rnacentral:ncRNA from 22 species
AUUUCAUGAAGAGUGGCUGAGGGACGGGCCCUGUGACGCCACGACAACCGGCUCGAGCAAUUCGGGACAUCGGUGUCAACUCUCUCCUGCGUAACGGCGGGGAACAUGAGAU